AUUGAACGCUGGCGGAAUGCUUUACACAUGCAAGUCGAACGGCAGCACGGACUUCGGUCUGGUGGCGAGUGGCGAACGGGUGAGUAAUACAUCGGAACGUGCCCAGUCGUGGGGGAUAACGUAGCGAAAGCUACGCUAAUACCGCAUACGAUCUACGGAUGAAAGCGGGGGAUCGCAUGACCUCGCGCGAUUGGAGCGGCCGAUGGCAGAUUAGGUAGUUGGUGGGGUAAAGGCUCACCAAGCCGACGAUCUGUAGCUGGUCUGAGAGGACGACCAGCAACACUGGGACCGAGACACGGCCCAGACUCCUACGGGAGGCAGCAGUGGGGAAUUUUGGACAAUGGGCGCAAGCCUGAUCCAGCCAUUCCGCGUGCAGGAUGAAGGCCCUCGGGUUGUAAACUGCUUUUGUACAGAACGAAAAGGCUCUGGUUAAUACCUGGGGCUCAUGACGGUACUGUAAGAAUAAGCACCGGCUAACUACGUGCCAGCAGCCGAAGUAA
rnacentral:rRNA from 1 species